CCAGGAGGAAAUAGGAAGAAAUUGAUUUUCUGCAUUAUGAUCAUGGAACCCGUCUCCUAUUGUUCGGUGCCUAACGUGUUCUAGAGGAGCAAAUGCAAUUUACUGAAUACUUGAACGUUUGAAUUCGUUUAAAUACAAAGAUAUGGAUGAUCUUGCACCUUUGGUGGAGAAGCUAAAAAUAGCUGAAGAUGAGACUGACAAGACUGAACACUUGGAUAAACUUAUUGGUCUCCUGUCACAAAAUGAGGAUGACAGAGAGGACCUCACCCAGACUGUGAUUAACACGGGAGUUCUCGACAGCGUGCACAAGUUUCUAGUCGAUUCUACCAACAAUGAUAUCUGUUCAAAGUGUGCCCAACUCCUCGCAGAACUUGCUAAAACAGAAUCUGUGCGCCAGCCGCUAGUAGAUCUGAAUUUUGUUCCUCCGCUGGUGGAUCUACUCCCCUCGGAGGACAUCACAGUGAGCACCCAGGCCUGUAGAGCUCUUGGAAACAUCUGCUUCGAAAAUGAUGCCGCACGUAAUGCGAUGGAUGAGGCAGACACGAUGAAGAACCUGCUGGGCUUGCUGCGGUCUCAGCUACACAGCGAGGUGGAUGGUGCCCAGAGACUGCGGACGAUCGCCUGCGGCUUCCUCGUCAACCUCACCAACACUCACGAAGCACUGCAGGAGAAGGCUCUGGAGGGGAACGUGCUGGAGAUCCUCAACACGUGUCUGGAGAAACACCUCGACGACCAGGGACUCACCAACAUGACGCUGCUCACCAUCGCCAGCAUCGCAGACUCAGAUGUUGGUAAAGAGAAGAUCAGUGACUCGGAUAUCCCCCUCUCCCUGGUGAGCCUCCUGUCAAGAGACGAGAUGUCUGAAAAUGACGAAGCCAUUCUCGAUGUGCUGAUUAGUCUCAGUGACAGCGACAAGAUGAAGGAGAAGCUGGCCAACACGAGUUUGCCCAACUACCUGAUCCGCCUGAUCCAGACGAACACGGGCAGGUCGGCCGCGGAGAGUCAGCAGUGUGUCAAGAUGGCGUCCGACCUGCUCGUGUCACUUCUCGUCGGAGAUAACAGUAUGGAAACCCUAUUUGCGGGCGGUGAUGGCUCAGUCUUUAUAGAGUCUGUCAAGUGGCUAGAUUCUGACUGUGACAAUCUUAAAAUAGCAGGUGCACUGGCCAUAGGAAACUUUGCAAGAAGUGAUGAACAUUGUCAUCAUCUAGUGGAAGACGGGAUCACGGACAAACUGCUCAACAUCAUCAAGGGGAACAACUCUGACACGGAGGAACCAAACAUCACUCUGCAACACGCCGUACUGAGCGCUCUCAGAAACCUGGCAAUUCCUGUUCCCAACAAGCCCCGCCUCCUGCGUGCGGGAGUGAUGGACAUCGUGUUGAAUCUCUCCAACACCGAGAUCCUGGCCGUCGCGUUCAAACUGCUCGGGGUUCUCAGGAUGCUUAUCGAUGGCCAAGAGGAAGCCUCGAAGACUCUUGGCUGUAAUAAGGAAUUUAUAUCUCGCUUGGUAGAAUGGUGUGGUGUUGAAGAACACGCAGGGGUCAAAGGUGAAGCGAAUCGUCUCUUGGCCUGGCUUGUUAGGAAUAGCAAGUCUGCAGACGUCAUGAAAAACAUCAUACGUGCGGACGGCCUUCAGUUUUUGGUAGCCAUGGCAACAUCUGAGCACAUUGUCAUGCAAAAUGAAGCACUGUUUGCUCUAACAAUGAUUUGCUCCUCGGUUCUUGCCGAUGCUGCAGUAGCUCUGAAGGAGGCCGACCUGUCUACCAUGCUAACCACCAUCCUAAAGGAUAAAAACACAGUGUCUGAAAUCACCUGUAACACCCUCACUCUGACCAAGGCCAUCUGUACUGCUGAUAACUUACGAGAGGAGUUGAUCAGCUCGGGCAUUGCGGUCAUUAUCAGAGAGUUGUCUGACCACAAAGACAAGAAAGUGCGCGACUUGGCGAGAUCCGUUCUCGAGUUCAUAGAUAACCUUCCCGACGCGAGAUGAGAGCGACAGGACACUCAUCACCACUGGGAGUCACAGAAUUAGCGUGCUGGGAACAAUCUGUUUAAAACAUUCUCGUACACCAUUCCAGUGGUCGGUUUUAUCUAAAGAGAUUAUUCACCAUACAACAUGGUUCUAGACUUCAGACAACAUGGUUCUAGACUUCAGACAACAUGGUUCUAGACUUCAGACAACAUGGUUCUAGACUUCAGACAACAUGGUUCUAGACUUCAGACAACAUGGUUCUAGACUUCAGACAACAUGGUUCUAGACUUCAGACAACAUGGUUCUAGACUUCAGACAACAUGGUUCUAGACUUUUGGUUUGAAUUAAAUUCCAGACUACAAGUAUUCUCUCAUUGGGUUUUCCCAAACAAUAACCCACAACUCUUAUAUCAAAGACUGGUAUGUGCUGUCUUGUCUGUAGAUCCAUUGCUGCUAAUUAAAAAUAUAGCAGGUUGUCUCUAAAGACUAUGUUAGAAUUAUCAAAUAUUAGACUUGCAGGAUGCGAUGAUUAAUAAUCACUGCUUAAUUAGUCAAGUUUUUCCUAAUUCAAGUAAUAACAGACGUCGCCUCGUAUAAGACCAGUGUAAAGAACUGGGGGGAAAAGUAUAAUACAAUACAAAUACAAGUAUCAAGGUAAGUAUAUUUUAAAACUUUGUAUAGAAAUCAAAUUAAUUCUGGGUGAAAUUUAAAAGAUUCUAAAACAGUUCUGUAUUUAUUUAGUAGAAAAGAAACACAGUUUUAAUGUAAAUGUUUGUAAAUACACAUGUAAUGAGUGUUUUCUGUUUGUUUUUGGAAAAAUAAGAAGUAAGAAGACAAAAACUACAACAAAACAAC
rnacentral:misc_RNA from 1 species